rnacentral:rRNA from 2 species
GCUCAAAUUUGUAAUCUGGCGUCCUCAGGGCGUCCGAGUUGUAAUCUACAGAGGCGUUUUCCGCGCCGGACCGCGUCCAAGUCCCUUGGAACAGGGUAUCAAAGAGGGUGACAAUCCCGUGCUUGACGCGACGACCGGGGCUAUGUGAUACGUCUUCUACGAGUCGAGUUGUUUGGGAAUGCAGCUCAAAAUGGGUGGUAAAUUCCAUCUAAGGCUAAAUAUUGGCGAGAGACCGAUAGCGAACAAGUACCGUGAGGGAAAGAUGAAAAGCACUUUGGAAAGAGAGUUAAACAGUACGUGAAAUUGUUGAAAGGGAAACGAUUGAAGUCAGUCGUGUCGGUCGGGUUCAGCCGGGUCUCCCGGUGUAUUCCCGGCCGACGGGUCAACAUCAGUUCUGGUCGACGGACAAGGGCAGGGGGAAGGUAGCACCUCCGGGUGUGUUAUAGCCCCCCGUCGCAUACGCCGGCCGGGACUGAGGACUGCAGCUCGCCUUUUAGGCAGGGGUUCGCCCACUUCCGAGCUUAGGAUGUUGACGUAAUGGCUUUAAACGA